rnacentral:tmRNA from 1 species
GGGGGCGAAACGGAUUCGACGGGGAUAUAGAAGCUCAAAGUAGCAUGCCGAGGUCUGUCUGCUCGUAAAACAGAUGGAAAACUUAUAAUCGCUGACGAUUAUAAAUACGCUGUAGCAGCUUAGAUCUGCUCAGCCGUCCUGCUGGUUUCCCCCUGCGGAAUCAGUAAAGGGCGUCGACUCAGCAGGGUAGUUUCUGUGAUGCGCCUGCCAGAACAGAAGCGAAACUUUAGCAGGAUAGCGAUGCAGAAAGCUUGUUCCAGGGAAUUCUGCAGGGCGAUAUCUUAAACUGGAACUAAGCAUGUAGAAACUAGAGGGGAGUAUUUUCGGACGCGGGUUCGACUCCCGCCGCCUCCACCA